rnacentral:lncRNA from 1 species
AAAAGGAUUGCACAAUCCUAAGGGAAAAGGAUUGUAGGUUAUAGAGCUUCUAGAAAGGGUCCAGGCGCCAGAUUUGUAGGACAAGGGAUAAGGCCUUCUAGAAAGGUUGUUUUGUGGCUGAUUCCUAGAAAAACAAGGGAUAAGGUGCGGCACCUUUGUAGGAGUGGAUAAGGGCUUCUAGAAACCUAUUUUAAAGUGUCCUAAUCUGAAAAUAAAUUAAGUUAGGAUAGGAUUAGGAUAGAAUAAGAUAAGAUAAAGUUAGUUACAAUUUGGAUAAGAUAAGGUAGUUUGGAUAAGGUUAUGGAUAAUGUUCCUUCUUUCUUGCUGGUUCCUUAUCUUCUUUGUCUUGAAUUUAAUUUCUUCAUCUCCUUAUCAUAUUCCUAGCCUUUUGAACUCCAAAAACGUCCAUCCACCUUGGCCUAGACAUGUGCUAUCCAUUUAGUGCCCAAAACUGCUCCAAAAUGCACUUUCUUGCCAACUUUGUUAUUUGGACCUACAAACACACGAAAAUAGCUUAAAACACUAUAAUAAACACAAACAAACUAUGAAAAUGCAAGAAAACAAGCUAACUAAGUCUCAUAAAUAUGCUCCUAUCAAAUUCCUCUACACUUAGCUUUUGCUAGUGCUCGAGCAAAACGAAACAAACAAAACAAAACAAAACAUAACCUAGACCUUCCAACAUUCGCCUCAAGGAUUUCCAAUGGAACAUGACAUGCUAAAAAUCACUACUCACAUAGAUUUUAGCUAUCCUUACCCUCGAGCGCAUACUUAAUCGCAGUCACCACUCACUAGUUCGCAUUUAAUCAAUUUAAAACAUGGUUUUGAUGGUAGUAACAUGCCUUAGAGAAUCCCCUCAAUUCCUCACCGGAUAUACUCUUUAUUUUCACACAGAUUUUCUAACUACACUCCCUAUACUAGGUAUAUGUGAGAAGAUUGAUGUAAACAUGUAGACUAGCCACUCACAUAUGUUUUAAGCAAAGAAAGCACUUUCUGGAAUUAUUAAUGCAUGUAUAUAUAUAUAUGAUCUCAUGAACGGAAUGCUACUACUUAGAAGCGAGAACCAGUGAUAUCAUAUGCUCAUACCAGUUCCAAACUCCACAUAUUGAAACACAUAACACUCAAGAUGGCAGUCAAUGUUUAUAACGGGGCUCGGGUAUUGGCUAACAAAGAAAGGUAAAGAUAAACAAACGUUCUUAAAGCAAUAGUGAGCAAAGUAAUGAAAUUGACACUUAGAAUUCACUUUAGAAUGCAGAAAUCCACUUUAAAACACAAAGGAAGAUUCAUGCAACACCUAGUGUCAAAUUGAAACUUUUUGGACCCUUUCUUCAACAACCAACACUUGUGAGUUCAUUCUCAAUUAUUUUUCAACUCUUUUUUUUUUUCAACACACAUUUUUUUCUUUUCUUUUUCUUUUUUCCACAUUUUUUUUCUUUUUUGUUUUUUUCUUUAUACCCGUGCCCUCUUUCUUUGGCACACAAAAACACACUUUUGAAACCCUUCCCCCACACUUGUUUUCUGCAAUAAUGUUGAUCAAAAGGAAUUCCCUCUAAGUCAUGCUCCACUAUACUUUAAGAACAAGGGUGUGGAUAGUCCUAUUCUAGGCUAGGUCGGGAUAAUGUGGCUAACAACGAAAAUAGGCUAAAUAAGGCUCAAAUGGGUUAAACCUACAAACAAAUACAUGGGAUGAAGGCUUUUUGGCUCUGGUGGUAACUGCUAAACAACUUCAUCUUGUUAUAUGUUAUGCACUCAAUUUUAAGCUUUGAAUGAAACGGGCAUAAGUUCUAGUAUUUGGAACUAAAGUAAUAAAACGCAUUCUAAGUAGCAACCAAGCAAAGAAUAAUGAGAUCAUGCAACGAGUUUAGAAAACAAUAAAUCACAGAUUAAUAACUCUCCAAAUAGAUUUUAGGCUCAAGUCUCUCAGGGUUGUAGCGUUAGUUUGAGUUCCUUCCUUCAAGUAUGUUACAAAAACUGAUUUUUUUCCUUUUGUGAUUACAUGUGAAUUCGUAAACGACAACUACAACUAAGCAUAAACCAAAGAGCAUAUCAAACUUCCAUCCAUGUUUGUAACUUUCUUUAACAGUCAUGCAAUUAAAAACCAAAUCCUCAUCAUUGUGUUGGAAGGUACCCUAAGACACAACCAAACAAACAAAACAACUCAAAAAACGAUUUUUUUUUUUCGAAACUUUUCGAAUUUUUUCUUGAAUUUUCGUAUUUUCUUUUAAAGACACAUCAAAACACACUAAAAACACUCAAAAACAGUGAAAAACAACUUUUGAAAUAUUAGGUAGUAAAAUCCUACGAAUUUUUCAACAAAAACACUUUGUUUACUCCCCCCACACUUAAACCAAACAUUGUCCUCAAUGUUUUAAACAUAAACUCACACAUAAGCAAGCAAAUGACACAACUAACAAACAUGACAAGCAUGGCAAAAUAAAAGCAAUAAAGAGUAAGGUUUAGGAACGCAAAUCUGGUUGUGAUGCCGGAGCUUCCUAGGUCUUCUUUAUUUGCAUGGGUUGCCUCCCAAGAAGUGCUUGCUUUAACGUCUUCCAACCGGAUGAUACUUUCAUUCAAACUUCAUUGGUCCCCACACCAUGCAAUUGAUCUUUGAAUGGAAGGUGAUACUUGAAAUGAUCCGGUAAUGGUUUAAAUUCCAAAAUGGGUGCCUGGAUCAUUGAACUCAACAGCAUGUUAGUAUAAAACAAACUUGAAAUUUGAAGAGGUGGCUUACCUAUGUGUUGCGACAAGAACACGAGUACAUACUCCACGACAUGGUCCUCAAAACUUCCAUGCAUUGGAUCUAUGAAUGGAGGGGGAUAGUGAUCCUUCCUGAUUAUGGCAUUGAGUUUCCUAAAGUCCAUGUCAAUUCUCCCACCAAUUUGGAUUCGAUUCGGCACCUGUGCCAAAGAAGGUAACAACCUAUUAUUUGAAAUGAGAAUUGGAAUUGGAGGAGGUGGCUCACCAAUGUGCUGCAAUGAGGACUCGAAAGUAGCAGCAUAUUCAACAACUUCACUAGGCUUGCUCUCGGCCAGAGUGGGCAUUAGGGUAGUGAUUUAUCCCGUGUCAUCAAAUUCAACUUCUUUGGGGAUGGUUGUCUCAAGUACAUGCUCUUUGAUGAAUUCUAGAUACUCCCCAACCACUUUUUCCUCUUGAAUCUUUGGAAAGGUUUCCAAGAUGUCUUUCUUUCCCAAAUCUUUCGUGGAUUGCAUAAACCUGCUAGGGAAAGGCACAUUUAGUGGAAUAGGGUCAAAAAUAAAUGAAUUUGAAACAACCUUACUCGAAUUGGGUGGCAUAGGAGCCUUAAAAGGCUGUGGCAAGGGUUGUUCUCCCCUUGCCGUGGCUUUGUCCUCUUCAUCUUCUUUGGGCAGCAGCUUUUCGUCCUCUUUUUGGCUUUAUUUAGAUGCUUUGGGACUAAUUCCAACCUCCAUAUCCCUCGCCGAAGUGAUUUCAAAAUCUCCCAUCGAAUUGACAUUAGUUGAGUUGGAGCGUUCACUUUGUUCCUGAAUUUGUCCCAUGAAUUCCGCGAUCUCACCCAUUUGAUUCUUCAAUUCGCUCAUCACUUGGGCUUGAUUGUGCAUCCUCUCGGUUUGAUUUUCUGCUUCCUGUGUCAAAGAGGUGAGUAGUUGAACAAUUUGGUCAUUAUCCAUUGACGUACCUGAAUUUGCUUAGGAAGAUUGUGGUGGAGGCUGUGAUGGUGCACAUGGCCAUUGAUAGAACUCCUCAGAUGGCUGUUAGUAUUCUUCUUGUUGUGAGCCCUGCGUCAAGGAGGUUAGUAUAUCAAGAAUUUCAUCAUAACUCAUGGGCAUACUUGAAUUCGAUUGGAAUUGUUGUGGGGGAGGCGGUGGUGGCUGCAUAUGCGUGGUGUAAAACUCCUCAUAUGGCUGCCAAUAUGCAUCUUGUUGAGCCUCCUUGGCUUGAUCUUGUGAGCCUUGCACCAAAGAAUUUAAUUCUUUAAGAAUUUGAUUAUAAUCUAUUGACGAACCUGAGUUUGAUUGGGCAAAUUGUAUUUGAGGUUGUGUUGGCUGCAUAAGUCUUGAAUAGAACUCCUCAUAUGGCUGCCAAUAUGCUUCGUGUUGAACUUGUUGAGCUUCCCACCACAUAGAGUUUGAAUGAUCACUCCAAUCUCGUUGUGGACAUUGAUUGGUUUGAUAUCCUUGCCUAUAAGACGCACGCACCAAAUGUAGGGACACUUUGCAUUGUGGUCCUUUCGGCAUACUGCGACAAUUGAGAAGUAAGAUUUGCCAAUUGAUCUUGAAUGCUAGCAAAAUCCAUGUCUUACUUCUCUAAUACCUAAAACAAAAGAAAGAGAACUAAAUCAAAUAUCAAAAGUAAAAGAAACAAAGCAAAACAAAAUCAGUAACUAAAACAAAAGACAAAAAAAAAACAAAAAGAAAUAAUGGGGGAUUAGCAAAGUUGCUAACCCCCGGCAACGGCGCCAAAAUUUGAUGCGAAAAUUAACUUAAAACACAAAUUAAACCCCCUUUUGACAAUUGUAGUAUAUAUGUAAGUAGGGAUCGUUCUUAAACCGGGGAUUAGGAGAGAUUGCUAAAACACUUUAAACUGACUCAAAUAGAUAAAACUAAGCUUUAAAACACUUAACUAGACUUAAAAGACUAAAAACAAAUUCACAAGACUCAAAAUAAGCUAAAAACACUCAAAACUGCCUAAAAACACAAACUGGGUAGUUUCUGACUCUAAACACAAUUUUGGACAAAAAUUGGUUUUAACUUGACUCAAAACACUUAAAAACACAAUCUAAAACAGAUCCUAACUAGUUAGACACUCUAAAGUAAAGGGGGAUUUGGUUUUGGACGAAAAUAAAGUAAACAAAACAAGAACUAAAACUAGGCAGAUUUGCACGAAUUUGGUGGAAUGAGAUGGAUGAUGGGGUAGCUAGGAGGUCUUUCUCCACACAUGACAUACUUGCAUACAAAAUAAUUUCCAGUUGCUUUUUCAAUGAACCAUGAACUUCAACACCCCAAGUUUAUUAGGUACGCUUAAAUUAACCCUCAGAUUUUCCUUAAGUCAUUGAAUUGAAUGGAAUUAGCGCAUCACAAUCAAAUUAUUCCUCAAAAGUUCCCUACAUGAAAGCGUAUAAUAGAGAAACAAUCAAAGAUCAUUAAGUUCUAUGAAAAUCAUAAGUAUUGACAAGACAUUCGUAACUAUGAAAGCGAAUGAUACUUACGCCAGGAAUUUAUUUAACAUGAUUGUGACUAACAACCUUUACUACUUACGAAUUUAAGUUCAUAACGAUUAGGUGGAACUCCCUUAUAUCCUAGCAUCAUAUUUAUGCAUGCAAAUUAAGUGUGCACUCUCAACCCACAUACAUAAACAAGUUUUAAUUCAAAUAGAUAAGUAAAUUGAAUUCACAAUUCAUGAAAUCACAAUUGGAUGUAAUCAAAUCAUAUUGCAAGCAUAGCCAUGGUUUCGAAAUUCCCCCUAGCUAAUAGGGGUUUAGUUCCUCAUGUUCACAAAUAAACAAAGAUAACUUAAAUUAAACAUUGAAAUCGAAGAUAGAAAACACCUAGAAACGCUCCAACAAUCCAACGUCUUGGGUAUAGGCACGACUCCUAGGUAGCUCCUUCUCCUUCCUUCCUUGCAAUACUCACGGCACAAAAGGGAUGUUUGGAGAAUGAUGUAGUGAAUUGUGGUAGAGGGUGGUGGUGGUUUACUUGCUACACAAAGGUUUGUAUUUAUAGGGCUAGGGAAACCCACGAAUUUCUGAAGGAAAGGAAUGUGUAUUUGGCACAAUUCAUGAAGGAAAAGGGCAAGGGUUCACCAAAAUCUGAAGGGAAAAGGAUUACACAAUCCUAAGGGAAAAGGAUUGCAGGUUAUAGAGCUUCUAGAAAGGGUCCAGGCGCCAGAUUUGUAGGACAAGGGAUAAGGCCUUCUAAAAAGGUUGUUUUGUGGCUGAUUCUUAGAAAAACAAGGGAUAAGGUGCGGCACCUUUGUAGGAGUGGAUAAGGGCUUCUAGAAACCUAUUUUAAUGUGUCCUAAUCUGAAAAUAAAUCCCCC